GUCAAAUUCAGCCUUCCUUUUGCUUGGCAGCACCUGGAUGCAUGAUGAAUGCUCCCGGCCACGUACUGGCCAGCAAAUCAGUAACCCCAUAGCUCAGGGCUGGCUUCAGGCUGUGUUCUCUCUUGCCAAAAGGGAUUACCAGGUAGGGAUGUCAGAGAUGAAUAGAGUCAAUGCAGUAAUAACAUACAGAGGUUAUUUCUGAGACAAAAAAAAUAUGCUCUCAGAUCAGGCUCUGUUAGCUACUCACAGAACACCUUGUUUUUUAAAUAUAUCUAAGGCAGUUUUUUCAUUUUUUUCUAGACAUGGAGUCUCAUGUUUAUGAACUAUAAUCCUUGGAUGAUUUAUCACUUUCUGUACAUAGUGGUAGUCAAUCUUCAUGCUGUGGUUCCUUCAAUGAAGGCAUUUAAUUGGAACAGGAUCUGAGAGUUCAAGAACACAGUGCUUUGGUAGUUCUGCAGUCCUGGAUGUGUAAGUUAAUGAAACUGGGCAUACGGUUUCUGACCAGACUAUUCACCUACAAACCAGGGUCAGCCAUUUGGUCACCCAGAAAUGCCACAAUAUGGAGUGGAGGUGAAACCGUGGACAUGGAGGAAGUCAUUUUAACAUCAACAGAGAAAUCUGUUUCACAGGAACCAAUAAGUCUGCUUUGUCUCCCAGUGCCCCUCUCCUCCUGCUAAGGCUGCACCCAGUGUUCUCAGGGCGGGUGCCUCCAGGCCUGUCUGAAACCUGCAGCACAAGGCCUUCCCUCCACACUCUGAGCUCAGCUCCCAAAGCACUGCUUGUGCACACCCUGAUGUAAGAAAACAAAAGCACUCAGGAGGAGCAGCAGCAGCCCUCUGCUCUGCUCUCUGCUCUGACAGCAGGGACACUCUGAAGCACAGGGACAUGGGGAUGAGCCUGAACCCGUGCCCACUCAUGGGCAGGAAGCAUCUGAUAAGUGCAUUCCUCCACAUCCGGUGCUCACAGCACGGCCUUUGUGUCAUCCGCGGAUGAUUAAAUGGUCUACGGGGCCAUUAUGAACCAAAGGAAGGAGUAGCCAGCUCUCCCCAGGUUCCCUCAGUCAGCACGAUUGAAUUUCUCAAAGGCGGGCAGGCAGGCAGCAGUAGCAGUGGCAGCCCCAAUGACUUUUCCUGAAAAAUGUUCUCCCGUUUAGGAUCGAGCUUUCGUUUAACUGCUUGCUGUUUCGUUUUAUUAAGUGCAAAUUGUGGCUUAAUAGAUUUACAGUUGCCAUAAACUCUGGCAUGAUGAAAGCUGUCAGAGUGGCCAGUUGCACAGCACAGGACCAGUGCGAUGUUAGAAGGAGCGAGCGGGACAAGCCAGGCAUCAGGAGAUACUGCAGAGCACUCCAAGGGGUCUGUGUGUGUCCUGAGAGGCAGAUGCCAUCCUGUGGAACUGAGCAUAGAAGCAAAAAUUACGGACCACCGCUACAGACUGAUUCCCUCAAGUGGCCAGAACAGAGAACACAGGCCGAGCUUCCAGCUGCUGGGCUCCAAAUUGCGUGAAGUAGAUGGUGGUGACUGAAAAUGAGGAGAACUGCACGUUUUGGAUGCAGCCAGUGAGACACUUCUAUCAAAUCUCUGCUCGCUUACAAAAAGGAUACAAAGUCAAAGCAUACAGAAAUCAAGAGUGGAGGCAGUGAAAACAUUUGGAACGAAUGGAUGAAAACCUUCAGUCUCAGAUGGCUAUCUUUGAUCCAAGUGGCCCAGCUUCUUCAGCAUUUGGAACUUUCCAUUGCAUAAACCAGAAGUGGAAACAGAUUCUACUUUUCUUGAGACGAGCAUACAUGAAGUAUCUCCAUUGACUUACUGGGGAAAGUCCAGAUUUAAGUCAUUUUUGACAAGAGUAGAAAUUUGGCCCAACUUGGGCAGAAUCAAACCCAUGAGCACACAGAUUUCUAAUUUUUUUUCCCCCUAGUUUCACCCUGAGCUUUACUUUGAUUUCAAAGCUCUCACUGUGUCAUUGUAAACAUUCGGUCUUUAAAAUACUGCACUGCUCCAAAGUUAUCUGCAUGUGAGUUUAUUUUACAUUAAGUACUCAAAAUAUCUGAACAUAAAAUGCCAACAGAAACAACAAAAAUAUAAACAAAUCACUGCCUUCAGCAGAAACACUUUAAUUCAGAAUGUAAUAAAGGCAGUCGAGGUUUAAAACACUUAUGCCAGAGUGUAAACUGAAGGAAUUAGUAACUUUUUUCCCCCUGUAUGCAGUUCUGCUACUGCAGCCAAAAUAUUCUCACAGGUUGUUUAAAAAAGAAAAAAGGGAAAGGGAAGGGAAAGGGAAGGGAAGGGAAGGGAAGGGAAAGGGAAGGG
ensembl:lncRNA